rnacentral:misc_RNA from 1 species
AGUUCACGUGACCCGACUCUACAGGGUGUGCUCUUACAGGGUGUGAUAAAAACUUAUAUGCAAGUUUCAGUGACCCAAGGACAAGAUGAGGUUUCUUGUGCCUGUUCACAUAAUUCAAAACUGAAAGGAUAUAGGCAUGUGUUUCUUCAGUUACUAAUAACUUGCCAUUUAAUUAGAUUUUACAUUAUGUGUAUUUCCACUACCAAAUUGAUUUUGGCUAUGUUACAAAAUCUUCAAUUAUGUUAACUUACGUUGUUUGUAUUGUUGUAAUUAUGGCUGAUUUAUUUUGAAGUUGUAUAAAAGCAAUUCAACGUUCAUCAGCAGAAGGAUGGAAUUUUAUAUGCCAUAAAGCAAAAACAAUCGUAGAACUAAAAGAGUAACUCUUUGAUUGUAUCCAACAGACAGAACAAUUACCUUCAGUAAAGUUUAGUGCACGCCAGCCUCGGUGUGAAAGUGGUUUGUUGCCAGGGAGAGUUUUAGAUUAUCAUUUCUUCAGGGAGUUGUUUGCUUUUAUUUGAUAACUUAUGCCUUGUAUUCUCUGUUACACAACAUUUUGUUUUAUCAUUUCUACUUAACCAAUUGUAUGUGGUAGGCUGUCUCAACACUAUGUCAAAUAUUGAAUUCAGAUGUUUUGCCCUCACUCUCUAACAUGAUUAAAAAAAUGCAAACAAUUAG